ACGAACGCUGGCGGCAUGCCUAACACGUGCAAGUCGCACGAGACCUUCGGGUCUAGUGGCGCACGGGUGCGUAACGCGUGGGAACCUGCCCUUAGGUUCGGAAUAACUCCCCGAAAGGGGUGCUAAUACCGGAUAAUGUCUUCGGACCAAAGAUUUAUCGCCUUUGGAUGGGCCCGCGUUGGAUUAGCUAGUUGGUAGGGUAAAAGCCUACCAAGGCGACGAUCCAUAGCUGGUCUGAGAGGAUGAUCAGCCACACUGGGACUGAGACACGGCUCAGACUCCUACAGGAGGCAGCAGUGGGGAAUAUUGGACAAUGGGCGAAAGCCUGAUCCAGCAAUGCCGCGUGAGUGAUGAAGGCCUUAGGGUUGUAAAGCUCUUUUACCCGGGAUGAUAAUGACAGUACCGGGAGAAUAAGCUCCGGCUAACUCCGUG
rnacentral:rRNA from 1 species